rnacentral:rRNA from 1 species
CCCGGUGACCACAGACGCGUGUGCCCUACCCGAUUCCAUUCCGAACUCGGUCGUAAAAGCGCGCGUCGCCGAUGAUACUCCGUAAGGGGGAAAGUAGGUAUUGCCGGGU